rnacentral:rRNA from 1 species
AUUGAACGCUGGCGGCGUGCUUUACACAUGCAAGUCGAACGGUAACAGGGAGCUUGCUCCGCUGACGAGUGGCGAACGGGUGAGUAAUGCGUCGGAACGUGCCGAGUAGUGGGGGAUAACGCAUCGAAAGGUGUGCUAAUACCGCAUACGAACUGAGGUUGAAAGUGGGGGACCUUCGGGCCUCACGCUAUUCGAGCGGCCAACGUCUGAUUAGCUAGUUGGUGAGGUAAAGGCUCACCAAGGCGACGAUCAGUAGCGGGUCUGAGAGGAUGAUCCGCCACACUGGGACUGAGACACGGCCCAGACUCCUACGGGAGGCAGCAGUGGGGAAUUUUGGACAAUGGGCGCAAGCCUGAUCCAGCCAUGCCGCGUGUCUGAAGAAGGCCUUCGGGUUGUAAAGGACUUUUGUCCGGGAGCAAAUGCUGGUGGCUAACAUCCACCGGAGCUGAGAGUACCGGAAGAAUAAGCACCGGCUAACUCUGUGCCAGCAGCCGCCGUAAGAC